AGCGAACGCUGGCGGCAGGCCUAACACAUGCAAGUCGAGCGAGGACUUCGGUCCUAGCGGCGGACGGGUGAGUAACGCGUGGGAACGUGCCCUUUGGUUCGGAAUAGCCCCGGGAAACUGGGAGUAAUACCGGAUAAGCCCUACGGGGGAAAGAUUUAUCGCCAAAGGAUCGGCCCGCGUUGGAUUAGGUAGUUGGUGGGGUAAUGGCCUACCAAGCCGACGAUCCAUAGCUGGUUUGAGAGGAUGAUCAGCCACACUGGGACUGAGACACGGCCCAGACUCCUACGGGAGGCAGCAGUGGGGAAUCUUAGACAAUGGGGGAAACCCUGAUCUAGCCAUGCCGCGUGAGCGAUGAAGGCCUUAGGGUUGUAAAGCUCUUUCAGUGGGGAAGAUAAUGACUGUACCCACAGAAGAAGCCCCGGCUAACUCCGUGCCAGCCGCCGCGGUAAAAC
rnacentral:rRNA from 1 species